rnacentral:rRNA from 1 species
GACGAACGCUGGCGGCGUGCUUAACACAUGCAAGUCGAACGCUGAAGCUUGGUGCUUGCACUGGGUGGAUGAGUGGCGAACGGGUGAGUAAUACGUGAGUAACCUGCCCUUGACUCUGGGAUAAGCCUGGGAAACUGGGUCCAAUACUGGAUACGACAUGUCACCGCAUGGUGGUGUGUGGAAAGGGUUUUACUGGUUUUGGAUGGGCUCACGGCCUAUCAGCUUGUUGGUGGGGUAAUGGCGCACCAAGGCGACGACGGGUAGCCGGCCUGAGAGGGUGACCGGCCACACUGGGACUGAGACACGGCCCAGACUCCUACGGGAGGCAGCAGUGGGGAAUAUUGCACAAUGGGCGGAAGCCGGAUGCAGCGACGCCGCGUGGGGGAUGACGGCCUUCGGGUUGUAAACCUCGUGCGGCACGGAAGAAGCGAAAGUGACGGUACGUGCAGAAGAAGCGCCGGCUAACUACGUG